rnacentral:rRNA from 7 species
UGACCUCGGAUCAGGUAGGAAUACCCGCUGAACUUAAGCAUAUCAAUAAGC